AAAGAGUUCAAAUUUCCAGUUACAGAAUGACCCCUGGAGGGAAUACCAGGUGAGAAAUUUGAGAGGCCUACAUCAGGGCUAUAUUGCCUGUUAGCCAAGACUUAGCUCACUCAUGAGGAAGCACUGCAGAGGAUUGUGAGGACCUUCCAUCGUGUUCCAAGUCUACAAAAUGCCUGAGACAUGUUCACCAGGAAUCUAUGUGUGUGAGUGAUAUAAGAAGACCCUCCUGGAUGAAACAUGUGUCUGAACCAGAUCAAAGCCUCAAUUAGCAGAAGGAUAGAGUGGUUCUGAGAAAAUCACAGAACAGUCACUGCAUUGGGGCUUCAUGGAUCUGUGCCCGAACCCUAAGAGAGGUGGCCACCUCUAUUCUUUA